GAUCACAAGUAGGCAGAGAGGCAGGCAGAGAGAGAGAGAGGAAGAAGCAGGCUCCCCGCUGAGCAGAGAGCCCGAUGCGGGGCUCGAUCCCAGGACCCUGAGAUCAUGACCCAAGCCGAAGGCAGUGGCUUAACCCACUGUGCCACCCAGGCGCCCCCUCCGUGUUAUUUCUUAACGCUCCACAGGUGUAUCUUUGUAAACUUUGGAUCUGCUCUGGGAGCCAAUCUGAAAAUUUUUCCAGUUGGACAAGUGUGACAGCCACUGAGGAGAAGAACUUGCAAAGUGCUGACAUAGGCAGCCCUAUUCACACUAGGAGCCUUUUCCUGCGUAGCACCUUCUUCCACUAGCAAGGAUUCCCAAUCACGGCAGUAUUGACAAUUUGGAUCAGAUGAUUCUUUGUCGUGGAGCCUCUCCUGGGCACUGUAGGAGGGCAUACAUGAAAUCUAAGGCACACUAAUUUAUUAGAUGGUCUUAGAUUGCGAUGAUAAGAAAGCUAAAAGCUGGAUAUAGGUCUGUUUUCAAAUGCCUCUUCUUUUAAUUAAUCUAUUUUUUUGGAAGCGUGUUGUGACAAAGGAAGAGCCAUGAACAAAGAAGUAUCCAGUAACUCACUCUUCUGAACUGACAAAUUCUGGAAAGGCCAGACCUGUUACCUAUUUUCUAAAGUGGCGCAGGUGCUAACCUAAUGUGUGUGUGUGAUAGGAAUCAAACUGAAAGCCAGAAUGUUGGUAUCUAUUUUCUCCAACUAUCAACCAGGGACGAGAACCAA